AAGCCUUCUCUGUAAUAAAUAAUCUCCAUAUGUAUAGAUAUGGGGGCACUGGCAACCACACAGCUGUCUCAGGAAGUGCUUUCACACACAGGGUCAUCCAUCUCACACAGAGUUAAAAGCUGCUGUGAACCUGUAGAGAGCAGCAUUUGAUAUAAUCACAUACUUCUAUACCAUCAGCUCGUCCUUACAGUAAAGGGGGUGGAGCGACUAUAGUAAAGCUCGUGCAUUUUCCUGUUGUGGCAGCGAAACGUAAUUGUUUUCACAUAUAGUCAAAGCAAUUAUGUACUAACUGUGUCUAAGUGGAUAUUUUCCGAAUACAGGCUUUUAUUUUAACUUGUUCUUUCGGUUUGAAAUGGUAUCGCAACCCGCCGAGAGGCGAUUCGCGACGAAGACCGCUCGUUAAGACCGCUCCUUGUGGGACUUCGGUGGACCAUUUCGGUUUUUGGAAACAGUUUGUCUUUCUUCCUAAGGAAGUGGGUCUAAAGGCAUUUGAUCCAGAGCCAAGAAUACACGUGGGGAUAUGACACUAUGAGCCGUCCUAUAGCAGCUGACUGAUACUGACCCUGUGUAUGCUGAGCAAAGCGGCGAGGGUCGGGUCCGCCUCAGUCUCAUGUGAUUGGACGCUGGAUGGAAUCAAGGUGAAUGGAACACAAAGAGCAGGAGCUUAACCUGCCAGAGGGAGAUGAGACAUGUCCCAUUUGUAUGUAAGGACAGAUGGCAGAGGGUCCUUUGCCUAAGACAAAAGCAGCGAGAAAGUGAAGAGGAAGAUGAGAGCGGAGGGUUAGUGAUGGAGGAGAGGUGGGGCUCACAGGGCUGA
ensembl:lncRNA